rnacentral:rRNA from 1 species
UACCAGCACCCCGAGUGGUUGGGACGAUUAUUGGGCCUAAAGCAUCCGUAGCCGGUUCUGCAAGUCCUCCGUUAAAUCCACCUGCUCAACAGAUGGGCUGCGGGGGGAUACCGCAGAGCUAGGAGGCGGGAGAGGCAAACGGUACUCAGUGGGUAGGGGUAAAAUCCAUUGAUCCACUGAAGACCACCAGUGGCGAAGGCGGUUUGCCAGAACGCGCUCGACGGUGAGGGAUGAAAGCUGGGGGAGCAAACCGG